UACAGAAAAAUGAAAACCUUGCUCAGGGUUAGGAAUUGGAACUCCUGGCAGCAAGAAGAAAGGUGUGGGAUAGAUGGAGCUUUGAAAGAGGCUGGGUUCUGGGUUUGGCGCCCUUCGUCUAUGAACUACUGCAUGCCUUGCAGAAGGGACUCAAGCAGUACCAGGGAGUCGCAUUUGCUGUUGGACAGCUCUGAUUUUGAGUUUUCUGCUCUGCACCCUUGCCCUGCUUCCAAACACAGUCAUAUUCUGACGUGCUGGGGUUUAGACUAUAACAUAUGAAUUUGAGAGGACACAAUUUGGCUGAUGACAGCAUGCAUGGCUUCGAAGUCCUACUUCAGAGGAUCUCCAGGCUGCUUAAAGGUACUGCAUACCUGGGAGUGUUUGAAACAAA
rnacentral:lncRNA from 1 species